AAGUCGUAACAAGGUUUCCGUAGGUGAACCUGCGGAAGGAUCAUUAGUGAAUUUGUAGCCUUCAAGGCUCACAUUCUCUAUCCUUUUACACACCUGUGCACCCUUCUGAAGCGGAGAGUUAUUAGGCAUUAGCCGAGCGCCUCCCUUCGGUUAUUAUAUCAAACUCUAACCACGUUUACUAGAAUGUAUUACCGUCUUGUUGUAACGACAAGUACAAUCCAAUAAAACUUUCAGCAACGGAUCUCUUGGCUCAG
rnacentral:misc_RNA from 1 species